CUACGUAGGUGACAAGCGUUAUCCGGAUUUACUGGGCGUAAAGGGCGUGUAGGCGGUCUUGCAAGUCAGAAGUGAAAUUCCUGAGCUCAACUCGGGCGCUGCUUCUGAAACUGCAGGACUUGAGUGCUGGAGGGGAUAGCGGAAUUCCUAGUGGAGCGGUAAAAUGCGCAGAUAUUAGGAAGAACACCGGUGGCGAAGGCGGCGAUCUGGACAGUAACUGACGCUGAGGCGCGAAAGCGUGGGGAGAAAACAGGAUUAGAUACCCUGGUAGUCCACGCCGUAAACGAUGAAUGCUAGGUGUAGGGGGUAUCGACUCCCUCUGUGCCGCAGUUAACACAAUAAGUAUUCCGCCUGGGGAGUACGGCCGCAAGGUUGAAACUCAAAUGAAUUGACGGGG
rnacentral:rRNA from 1 species